rnacentral:rRNA from 1 species
AGAGUUUGAUCCUGGCGUCAGGAUAAACGCUGCGGCGCACAUAAGACAUGCAAGUCGAACGGAUUAACCAUAGUUUACUAUUGGAGCGGUUAGUGGCGGACUGGUGAGUAACACGUAAGCAACCUGCCUAUCAGAGGGGAACAACAGUUAGAAAUGACUGCUAAUACCGCAUAUGCCUUGAGUUACGCAUGUAACGAAAGGGAAAGGAGCAAUCCGCUGAUAGAUGGGCUUGCGUCUGAUUAGAUAGUUGUGGGGGUAACGGCCUACCAAGUCGACGAUCAGUAGCCGGACUGAGAGGUUGAACGGCCACAUUGGGACUGAGAUACGGCCCAGACUCCUACGGGAGGCAGCAGUCGGGAAUAUUGCGCAAUGGAGGAAACUCUGACGCAGUGACGCCGCGUGCAGGAAGAAGGUUUUCGGAUUGUAAACUGCUUUAGGCAGGGAAGAUAAUGACAGUACCUGUAGAAUAAGCUCCGGCUAACUACGUG